UGACGGCCGUCCCUCUCACUGCUUGGGUGGAGCCUUAGGUCGUGGGGUUUCAGUAAACAUCAUAUAUCCAACCGGACUGGUCUUCACUCAGGGCACCGUGGGCAUGGGCUGGCUGUCCGUUAGUGCCUUCUGAUUUCUGCAGAGUCAAACAACU
ensembl:snoRNA